ACUCAACUGACGAUUCCCAAAUAGAACGAAACGCGUGUGCUGGAU
rnacentral:hammerhead_ribozyme from 1 species